GACGAACGCUGGCGGCAUGCCUAACACAUGCAAGUCGAGCGAGCAGAUCCCUUCGGGGUGAAGCUAGCGGCGGACGGGUGAGUAACACGUGGGCAACCUGCCUCAUAGAGGGGAAUAGCCUUCCGAAAGGAAGAUUAAUACCGCAUAAGAUUGUAGCUUCGCAUGAAGUAGCAAUUAAAGGAGCAAUCCACUAUGAGAUGGGCCCGCGGCGCAUUAGCUCGUUGGUGAGGUAACGGCUCACCAAGGCGACGAUGCGUAGCCGACCCGAGAGGGUGAUCGGCCACAUUGGGACUGAGACACGGCCCAGACUCCUACGGGAGGCAGCAGUGGGGAAUAUUGCACAAUGGGGGAAACCCUGAUGCAGCAAUGCCGCGUGAGUGAUGACGGCCUUCGGGUUGUAAAGCUCUGUCUUCGGGGACGAUAAUGACGGUACCCGAGGAGGAAGCCACGGCUAACUACGUGCCAGCAGCCGCGGUAA
rnacentral:rRNA from 1 species